rnacentral:rRNA from 1 species
GCAAGUCGAAUGGGUUUAGACCCAUGGCAGACGAGGUAGUAACACGUAGGUAUACGUACCCCAAAGUCGGGCAUAAUCAGUCGAAAGACUGAAUAAUUCCCGAUGGUCCCGCAAGGGUAAAGAUUUAUCGCUUUGGGAGCGGCCUGCGUAGUAUCAGCUUGUUGGUAAGGUAAAAGCUUACCAAGGCUAUGACGCUUAGGGGAGGUGAGAGCCUGACC